GAUGAACGCUGGCGGCGUGCCUAAUACAUGCAAGUCGAGCGAACAGACGAGGAGCUUGCUCCUCUGACGUUAGCGGCGGACGGGUGAGUAACACGUGGAUAACCUACCUAUAAGACUGGGAUAACUUCGGGAAACCGGAGCUAAUACCGGAUAAUAUAUUGAACCGCAUGGUUCAAUAGUGAAAGACGGUUUUGCUGUCACUUAUAGAUGGAUCCGCGCCGCAUUAGCUAGUUGGUAAGGUAACGGCUUACCAAGGCAACGAUGCGUAGCCGACCUGAGAGGGUGACAGGCCACACUGGAAAGGAGACACGGUCAAGAUUGGUACGGGAGACAGCAGUAGGGAAUCUUCCACAAAGGGCGAAGGACUGACGGAGAAACGCCGAGUGAGUGAUGAAGGUAUGCGGAGCGAAAAACUCUGUUAUUAGGGAAGAAAAAAUGUGUAAGUAACUAUGCACGUGUUGACGGUACCAAAUCAGAAAGCAACGGAUAACUAC
rnacentral:rRNA from 1 species